rnacentral:misc_RNA from 1 species
UACGGAGGGUGCAAGCGUUGUUCGGAAUUACUGGGCGUAAAGCGCACGUAGGCGGAUCUUCAAGUCGAUUGUGAAAGCCCCGGGCUCAACCUGGGAAUUGCAGUCGAUACUGUUGAUCUUGAAUGCCUGAGAGGAUGGCGGAAUUCCCGGUGUAGGAGUGAAAUCCGUAGAUAUCGGGAAGAACACCUGAGGCGAAGGCGGCUAUCUGGCAGUGCAUUGACGCUGAGGUGCGAAAGCGUGGGGAGCAAACAGG